CCAAUAGCGUAUAUUAAAGUUGUUGCAGUUAAAAAGCUCGUAGUUGAAUUUCGGAAUCUGUCCGUUGGUCGGGCUUUAUUGUCCGUACUGAUGUGAUGGGUUCUUACCUUCUGAAUAACCAGCAUGUCAUUAAUUUGGUGUGUUGGGGAAGCAGGACUAUUACCUUGAAAAAAUUAGAGUGCUCAAAGCAGGCUAGUGCCUGAAUACAUUAGCAUGGAAUAAUAAAAUAGGACGGCAUGGUUCUAUUUUGUUGGUUUCUAGGAUCACCGUAAUGAUUAAUAGGGAUAGUUGGGGGCAUUAGUAUUCAAUUGUCAGAGGUGAAAUUCUUGGAUUUAUUGAAGACUAACUUCUGCGAAAGCAUUUGCCAAGGAUGUUUUCAUUAAUCAAGAACGAAAGUUAGGGGAUCGAAGACGAUCAGAUACCGUCGUAGUCUUAACCAUAAACUAUGCUGACUAGGGAUCGGACGAUGUUAAUUUUUUAAUGACUCGUUCGGCGCCUUACG
rnacentral:rRNA from 1 species